CAUGCUUAUAUCAUUUUCCAGAAUUGUUAGGCUUCCAUAGGAGACAUUAUCUCUGAAACACUGGUGUUGCAUAGAAAUUUCAUUAUAUGUGAUUUUAAUGAGCAGAUUUUCUAUAAAUAUCAUUUGCUGUUAAUUUCUUGGCUUAUAUUGGUGAUGGCUUCGGCAGUUGGGCUUGAUGACCUCAAAGCUCUUUUUCAGCGCAAAUGAUUCACUCAUUCUUUAUUAUUUUACAGGUUUUCCAGUAGAUGGAAUCAGUGGUCACAGGCAGAAUUUGCUGUAAGUAGGAGAAAGGAUUUUCACUCAGGCUUAAAAGACGCCAAAACCUGUUGGUUUUACCUGCAGAGGUGUGUGAAACUUCUGAGCAGCUGUUCUUGUACAUCUUGAAAUGCAGCAACUGUGUGAAGAUCUGCUGCUCCCUGUUUCAAAGGCCUAACCAAGAGUGUUCUGAGGUAAUCCAAAAGCUCUUUGUGGGUGAGAGGAGAUGCAGAUUCAGUUGCAAACUCCAGGAAA
rnacentral:lncRNA from 1 species